rnacentral:misc_RNA from 1 species
GAUGAAGAACGCAGCGAAAUGCGAUAAGUAGUGUGAAUUGCAGAAUUCAGUGAAUCAUCGAAUCUUUGAACGCACAUUGCGCCCCUUGGUAUUCCAUGGGGCAUGCCUGUUCGAGCGUCAUUUGUACCCUCAAGCUAAGCUUGGUGUUGGGUGUUUGUCCACUCCCUCGUGUUUGGACUCGCCUUAAAACAAUUGGCAGCCAGUGUUUUGGUAUUGAAGCGCAGCACAAUUUGCGAUUCUAGCCUAGAAUACUAGCAUCCAUCAAGUCAUUUUUAACGCUUGACCUCGGAUCAGGUAGGGAUACCCGCUGAACUUAAGCACAUCAAUAAGCGGAGGA